AGAGUUUGAUCAUGGCUCAGGAUGAACGCUGGCGGCGUGCCUAAUACAUGCAAGUCGAGCGAACGGACGAGAAGCUUGCUUCUCUGAUGUUAGCGGCGGACGGGUGAGUAACACGUGGAUAACCUACCUAUAAGACUGGGAUAACUUCGGGAAACCGGAGCUAAUACCGGAUAAUAUUUUAAACCGCAUGGUUCAAAAGUGAAAGACGGUCUUGCUGUCACUUAUAGAUGGAUCCGCGCUGCAUUAGCUAGUUGGUAAGGUAACGGCUUACCAAGGCAACGAUGCAUAGCCGACCUGAGAGGGUGAUCGGCCACACUGGAACUGAGACACGGUCCAGACUCCUACGGGAGGCAGCAGUAGGGAAUCUUCCGCAAUGGGCGAAAGCCUGACGGAGCAACGCCGCGUGAGUGAUGAAGGUCUUCGGAUCGUAAAACUCUGUUAUUAGGGAAGAACAUAUGUGUAAGUAACUGUGCACAUCUUGACGGUACCUAAUCAGAAAGCCACGGCUAACUACGUGCCAGCAGCCGCGGUAAUACGUAGGUGGCAAGCGUUACCCGGAAUUAUUGGGCGUAAAGCGCGCGUAGGCGGUUUUUUAAGUCUGAUGUGAAAGCCCACGGCUCAACCGUGGAGGGUCAUUGGAAACUGGAAAACUUGAGUGCAGAAGAGGAAAGUGGAAUUCCAUGUGUAGCGGUGAAAUGCGCAGAGAUAUGGAGGAACACCAGUGGCGAAGGCGACUUUCUGGUCUGUAACUGACGCUGAUGUGCGAAAGCGUGGGGAUCAAACAGGAUUAGAUACCCUGGUAGUCC
rnacentral:rRNA from 1 species